CUUUUUCUCAUCUGCUACAUGGAGAUGAUAACGCCUAUUGUGUUAAGUUAUGUGAAAAUUAAAUGAGAUGUAAGUCACAUGGACAGUUUCAGAGUCACGUGAGGGGCAGUACCCAAGGGCAUGAGCACAAAGAGGAAACCACUCACACCUACAGUCUCA